UACGUAGGGUGCAAGCGUUACUCGGAAUUACUGGGCGUAAAGGGCGCGUAGGCGGCCAUGCGUGUCUUCCGUGAAAUCCCUCGGCUUAACUGAGGACGUGCGGAAGAAACUGCAAGGCUCGAGUCCGGGAGAGGGGGGUGGAAUUCCCAGUGUAGCGGUGAAAUGCGUAGAUAUUGGGAGGAACACCGGUGGCGAAGGCGGCCCCCUGGACCGGUACUGACGCUGAGGCGCGAAAGCGUGGGUAGCAAACGGG
rnacentral:rRNA from 1 species